rnacentral:rRNA from 1 species
GAUGAACGCUGGCGGCGUGCUUAACACAUGCAAGUCGAACGAGAAGUGAAGACGGAAACCUUCGGGCGGAAGGCUUUAUUUCGAGUGGCGGACGGGUGAUUAACGCGUGGUUAACCUGCCUCAUACAGGGGGAUAACAGUUGGAAACGACUGUUAAUACCGCAUAAGACCACAGCACCGCAUGGUGCGGGGGUAAAAACUCCGGUGGUAUGAGAUGGACCCGCUUUCGAUUAGCCAGUUGGCGGGGUAACGGCCCACCAAAGCGACGAUCGAUAGCCGAGAUGAGAGGAUGGCCGGACACAUUGGGACUGAGACACGGCCGAAACUCCUACGGGAGGCAGCAGUGGGGAAUAUUGCACAAUGGGGGAAACCCUGAUGCAGCGACGCCGCGUGAGUGAAGAAGUGUUGCGGUAUGUAAAGCUCUAGCAGCAGUGAAGAAAAUGACGGUACCUGAGUAAGAAGCCACGGCUAACUACGUG